rnacentral:rRNA from 1 species
UACGUAGGGUGCGAGCGUUAAUCGGAAUUACUGGGCGUAAAGUGUGCGCAGGCGGCCAUGCAAGUCGAGUGUGAAAGCCCCGGGCUUAACUUGGGAAUUGCGCUCGAAACUACGUGGCUGGAGUGUGGCAGAGGAAGGUGGAAUUCCACGUGUAGCGGUGAAAUGCGUAGAGAUGUGGAGGAACACCAAUGGCGAAGGCAGCCUCCUGGGCCAGCACUGACGCUCAUGCACGAAAGCGUGGGGAGCAAACAGG